UACGGGGGGUGCAAGCGUUGUUCGGAAUUACUGGGCGGAAAGGGCUCGUAGGCGGCCAACUAAGUCGGACGUGAAAUCCCUCAGCUUAACUGGGGAACUGCGUCUGAUACUGGAUGGCUUGGAUUCGGGAGAGGGAUGCGGAAUUCCAGGUGUAGCGGUGAAAUGCGUAGAUAUCGAGAGGAACACCUGCGGCGAAGGCAGCUCGCUACACUAUUAUUGACACUGAGGCACGAAAGCGUGGGGAUCAAACAGG
rnacentral:rRNA from 1 species